rnacentral:rRNA from 1 species
CAGCAGCCGCGGUAAUACCGGCGGCCCGAGUGGCGGUCACUAUUAUUGGGCUUAAAGCGUCCGUAGCCGGGUUGGGAAGUCCUCCGGGAAAUCUGGCCGCUUAACGGUCAGAAUGCCGGAGGAUACUCCCAGCCUAGGGAGCGGGAGAGGCCGAGGGUAUUCCCGGGGUAGGGGGGAAAUCCUAUAAUCCCGGGAGGACCACCUGUGGCGAAGGCGCUCGGCUGGAACGCGUCCGACGGUGAGGGACGAAGGCCAGGGGAGCAAACCGGAUUAGAUACCCGGGUAGUCCUGGCUGUAAACGAUGCGGACUUUGUGUCGGACAAGCUAUGAGCUUGUCCGGUGCCGGAGGGAAACCGUUAAGUCCGCCGCCUGGGGAGUACGGCCGCAAGGCUGAAACUUAAAGGAAUUGGCGGG